ensembl:lncRNA
GUAAGAUUUCCAUUUGGGUUCGGAUCAGCAUCUGUAUAUUUCCAGUGAUCUGAUUAAAGAUGGUGGGGCUCAUCCAGCUCCAGCACUGCAGUGCUGGGGGAAGCUCAGGUCCCCACAGAGGAUCCUUGAGCUCUCCAACCCUGUUUUCUAAGGAAAUAUAAGGCAGGGUUCCAUUUAUUUAUUUCCAUAUCCCAGAUAUUGUCUUGGGAGAAGGGGAUUGUUUUCCAGAGCUCGUGUUGGUGCUGCUGAGCCUUUCCUAGGGAUCAGCCAAAACUUCCAGCUGGGCUCAUCAACUCUUCCUGGGCUACCUGAAAUGUUUAUCAGCCCUUGUGCCAAUCAGAGAAGUAGGGCCUGCAUCACUUCCAAUAACUGAGCCUUCACCUGAAGAUCAGUAUAACAUCUAAAUCUGUGUUUCAACACAGAGUUAGUGUGACCUGCUCCGCUCAGCUCUCUUAUCACUUGGGGCAUUUCAUGUUGCAGCCAUGUCUGUCCAAGUCUGAGAGAUAAAGUUUAAUCAAACGAAUGAUUUGUUAUUCUCCAGCAGGGAUUAACAAAGGUGUUUAAAACACUGUGUUCAUAUUCACCGUGAGGAUAAAGGGGAUUUUGGAACAGUGAUAUCACUGGGUUUCAGUGUGACCUGUAUGGUGUUAAAAACAGGGGAAGCUGUGAUGAACCAUGCUGGGCAGUGACGUUCACAUGUGUACAACUAAAGUCCUUAAAGCAGAUGAGUAAUUUGGACUCAAUUUUUAUUUAAAUCAAGUCUCUGUUACAUGCAUCUAUGCCCACGCCUUGAAAUUCUCUCCAGUCAUGCAUUUGGCGUAGGUGGGAAUACCUCCUUCACAGGUAAACUUAGUGUUCCUUUCAUAGAGAAGGCCGUUACCAUUGACUUCCCUCUGUUAAGAAAAAAAAAAGAGGAUUUUUUUUCAUAACAAUUUAACUUUGAGCAGUAUUUAUUUAUUCAAGAAGUUUUCCUGACAGUGUGUAAAAGAAGGAUCAUUUAGAAAAGAAAAAAAGGUUCAGUAAUGUAAGUCCUCAUUUGGGACUGCGUCUCAAAUUAUAUCUUUUUGAUUCUGACUUUCUGCCCAGGUUCCAGUGGAAACUUUUUUUCACUUAAAAAGCAAAUUUCUUUCUUUGAAGGCAACCAAUCUAGCAGUGUUUUUUUUUUUUUUUUUUUUUUUCUUGUUUCUAAACUGCAGAGAAACUCUCAUGGCAGUGGUAUAAAGUUGGCCUGUGGCCUCAUGGGCCGUAAGGUGGGCUUGAUGGUGCUGUGUCAGUGCUUGUGUCAGUGCCUAGCCAUUGUUUUGUUCCUCCUUUGUCCACCGAAGCUCUGUCUUCAAUCCUGUCAUUUUUGGAGGUGUUUGCAGGCAUGGUUAUGUCUUUCUUCUUCCUGAGUUAAUGAUGGUACAGGCUGUCCAGAGAGCUGGUGGAGUCACCAUCCCUGGAGGUGUCCAGGAACCAUGAUUCUAUUGGCUCAGAAUGAUGCUUGUGCCUUUUGGGUCCCAGCAAAUAUAGAAUUUUAUGAGUCUGUAUGGGAAUUGUUGAAUCACAGCCUGAACCUCUGAUUGACCACCUGAGGCGAGUGCUGAGUCAGCCGCAGGGGCACAGGUGAACUCAAUUCUCCAAGACCCCAUUUAAGGGCUGACUCCCAAGGAGGAAGGCUCUCUAUCUGGAGAUCACCCUUCUUGGAGCCCAGGACAAGGGUAAGCUCUUUAUUUCAUUACUCCUUUGUAAAUGUGAUAAUCUCUCUGGUCCUGUACCUAUUUACCUUCCAAUCUGUAUACCUGUUUGCCAUACAGAGACCCUAUGCUUACAUUCCUCCUUUAAUGCUUAAGAGAUAAAAGCUCCCAUUCAGGCUGCUUACCUGGGUGUCUCACAUAAUCAUUAAAGUGGUUUCAGAGGCCAAGGAAGCAUGAAGUAAUUGCUGCAGGGCUGCCAGACCUUGUCUGCACUGGGUGUGCAGGUGCCCACUGUGGGGGUCUGUGGGGAACAACCCAUCCACACCCCACCUCUGCAGCUAAGGCAAAUAACCAAGAAGGAAGGAAUGAAUAUCUUUGCUAUUGCUUUUCAUUAUGUCUUUUUGAAGAUGUGAUGCACUAAGAUUUCCUGUGAUUACAUGUAAUAGCUGGAGGGGGGCAGAAGGGAAGACAGUAAAUGAAAGUCAUACAAUUAAUUCACUUAAAUCUGUCACUAAGGCUUCAGUGAGCCAAUCUGUAAAUAACUCCACUGCUAACGUAACUUUGUUUGCAUAACUCCGCUCAAACCCCUCAGAGAUGAGGGACCCAGUGUUUUUUCCCCUCACUUCCUGCACAUGAAGUGCUAUCUGGGACAGCAAUAGUCUGUAAAUCUGACUCUGUGGCAAUGCACCAGGUUUGAGUGGAUGAAAAAAGCUCCACAUGCCAGCACGCAUGCCUAAAAUUAGCACCAAAGACAUUGGAUUCUCGAGUGCUUUAUUCCUUUCUUUUCCUCUCACUAAAGGGCUGGGUUUUUUGCGUGCUGCUGAGGACCAGUUCAUAAUAUUAGUCUGAGGUUACUGUGCCAUUCAACCAAACCAGAGUUGAGCACCUUUUGUUCAUGAGAUGAAUGACACCAGCUCCUCCCCUCCCAGCACACCAAAUCAAAUUAACCUACUGGGGUAACUGGACUGGGCUGCUCAGGUGCUGGUGGUCUCUGAGCUUUGCAAUAAUCAUCUGCAGAUGGCAGGAAAAUGCAAGCCUGAGAAGCAUAAAGUGGCUGAAAGGCAUCUGUCCAAGAGUAAUUGAGGCUCCAGGACCCCAUUUAUAGCAUGGGGAUGUAAUGUUCCAGUGAGCCCCAUCCCAUCAGGUGCAGAGCGUGGGUGCUGCCUGCAUCAUCCGCCAGUGGGACAUACUGGGAGGAGCUGGGAACUGCACAGGAGCAAAGCAAGGAUGUUGCAUGCCCAGGAGUGCAGCAAUGCACUGUUGACAGUGAGCAUCACCUGAUGGGACAUCAUAUAGGGGAAGGUUGAGCAAAGAGGUGACUUUGGGGUCAAGGAAAAUGAGAUCCAGAGAAUAGAAUAAACUGAAGAAUAGAAGCAAAAUGCCACUGACUUUUUGUAACCCAAUCCAAAGGACUCCAACAGCAAUACCAAGAUUUCAAAAGAAAAAAUCAUUGUAGGCUGCACAGGUACUGGAGGAACACCCAGAGCAAAUUCUCUCUUGUACUUAGCCCAUGGAAAAUAUUAGUAAUGCCUUGUGUCCCAGGAGACUGAACUGACCCUGACUGGCCCAGCCUGUCUGGAGGCUUUUCUGUGGGCCUGACCUAUUAAAUAUUCUCUCUUUUAUUUCACAACAAACACUUCCCUCCCUCCUCUCUAAUGAGAUGUUUGGCUGAGCAGCGUUUGAAGAACAGAGAAAUUCCAUGAUAUCAUUUGCAGGUGGGCCAGGCAGAGGUAUCUUUACUGUCAGGUUUUCAUUUUAUUAGAUAUCACCAGAAAAAAAAAAUAGCUUUGAAAACAAACUCUAGCUGAACUCCAGCCCAACAGGAGCAAAAUUUCACAUAGCCAUCUAUUCUGGUAGAUUAGCGGCCUUUAGAAGAGGAAGCCAAAGGAUGUGUUUUCUUCAGAGAGCAUUUUAAAAAUCUCUAAAUCUCUUAGAUUUUUUUUUUCAAUCCCAGAAUAACUUUGGAAAUACAAGAGUGCUUUUCUUCUUUAAUCUUGUCAACAAUUUCAAGCAGAGAUUUGUUCUGGGGAAAACUGCGACUCUGCCUUAGGUUCUGAUAAGUGUAGAAGAGUUUGUCCUGCUAAUAUAUUCUUCCGAAUUCAGAUCAACCAUGGAAAAACAGAGGGUGAUGAAACACUGAAACAGGUUGCCCAAGGAGGCUGUGGAUGCCCCAUCCCUGAGGGCAUUCAAGGCCAGGCUGGAUGUGGCUCUGGGCAGACUGGUCUGGUGUUUGGUGACCCUGCACACAGCAGGGGGUUGAAACUGGAUGAUCAUUGUGGUCCUUUUCAACCCAGGCCAUUCUAUGAAACCCUGUAAGUUCCAUCAGACAGAUGAGAAACCUGCACCUCCAGAGGAGGAGGCAUUGAUUCCCAUAUUUCCACAGUCUUAAUACAAGAUUAGUCUUAACAUUUCUCAUCAUUUAUACCAUGAUGCUUUUAAGGAUUUUGUCUUUUCUAUUCAAAAAGUCAAUAUUAUAGAGGUUUUCCUGCAUCCCAAAGAAAUCAGACAAAAAAAAAGUUUUAGCAACAGCAGCAUUCAUUGCAAGGUGAUUUCUGCUGAUAACACAGUGGUAAACUGCUUUUAUUAUAAAAUCUAUUUCCAGGGGUUGGCUUUCCAUAGGGAAAAGUUACUCUAUGCCUGAAUGCAUUAAGUCCUGAGUGUCAUAUUCAGUCCCUGCAAGGACAGAGGAUGAUCAGUAUUUUAGGAAAUGUAAAGUCUAUUUCAACUUAGGAGAAAUGUGUUUUGAGUGGUGUGUUUCUGAGUUAAUGUACGGUGAGGAUGCAGACUAAAAGGCCUCCAGGCAGCUUCAAAUUGUUAUUAAAGGGAGGAAAAUAUAUGGAGGGAAAAAUCUAUCAUCUUCAUUUUCCAUGUGAUUUCAAAGAAAAAAGAAACCACUUUGAGGGAAAGCUCUGACAAAAAGAUCGCCUCUAAUGCCAUAAGUUAUGGUUCUAUAAAUCAGCCAGAUGAUAUAGGGCUGGCACCAGGCAAAUAUAUCUUCUAGCAUCAAGAACUAUAGGGGAGAUUCUCUCAUUCAAGAGUUGUUCAUAAUUCACUAUAAUUGGUGGGAAAGUGAGGGCUGUGACAAUUUAAUUCAUUCACAACUGGCAAUGUUAUUAUUGCAGAACAAAAAUGCUGUGUUAGAUGAAAACCAUCUGGUGUCAACAAAAACCAUCCCUGUGGUCAAGCAACAGCUUGGGACAAGUGGAUGUUGUUUGAAAAGUCACUGGGCCAGAAGCAGGGUUGAUUCCAGCCUCUGAAACGGGCACGAAUUCUUCUCUCGUAAUAAGAAAGGUGCCACCCAAACGUGCAGAGUCCCGCUUGUCUCAAGGUUGACUGCAUUUCCCCAGCGUUUGAACUUCUCCGUCACGCUGUUUCUCUGCUGCUGCUGACACUGAAUUAUGCUUUGGACUAGAGGCCAGGAUUUUCCCAUUGACAUGGACAAAUUGGUCUACUUUAUUGCAUUCUGGAGAUUUGAUCCUCCUCUGCAGUCUGCUGGGCAACUUCCAAAGGAUAGAAUUGGAUUCCUCACCAUAAAGUUUCUCCUUCCAAGAUGGAAAGGGCUUUUAUGGCAAAGUAUAAAAUCAAAAAACAAGCUGUCACUCGCAUUUGCUGCACUGCUCUUUCUGUGCACUGUAAGAAGCACUCUCAGGGUUUUGAAGCCUGCUGUAUUAAGUGUGAGAUGGUGAAAAGGUCAUGACAGAAGGGCUGGUGAGAUUGAGAUUGAGUGCAGGAGCAUUCUGCAAGGAGGUGACUUGCCUGCUCCAAAUGCCCUGAGAAGUGAAGGCGAGAGCCUUAGCACAGCAUUGUGCUACCUGUGUCUUCUCCAUCCCUGCUACCUGCAUCCCUCCUUGCACAACCAGACCAUGGCUUUCAGGGUGACUGAUGUCCCCAUCAAGGAACAGUUUGUGACAAAGGAAUACAUCUUCCAUGAGGAGGAUGACCAGGAAUUGGACAACAUGAACUGAAGAAAACAUCUCCUGCCUCAGCAAUGGGCUCCCAAACCAAAACAGACAUUACUGCCUGGAAGUAAUUCGGAGGAACUCUACCAGCAAGUGUGAAAUGAAUGCAAAUGUGCAGCUUCUUUAGACUUAAUUGUAGAAGAGCAUCUGUUUACAUUUCAUUUCAGUACUACAGUGAACCCUCAUCUAUUGGGAAGUUUGCAGCCUGCAAAGAUAGCAUGUUGUUGAGUGGUUUUGAAAAGAAUAUACCAUCAUUCACCAGGUUCAUGCUGCUUGCCUCUAUUCAGCCACUCACCAGAGCCACCCUAUCGAAACUACAACUGUGGAUGUAAGCAUUUCUGAGAGCUGUAAUUGAACUCCCCAUCACAACCUUUAAAGCAAUCAUUUUGAUUACUCUUAGCUUAGCAAUUAUGGCUGAGUGACACAUUUUCAGCUUUGGAAAAUGAUAUGCCUAGCCCAGCUACCCUAUGCAUAAGUGUCUCAUAUACAUAUAUCCACAUAGAUAUACAUAUUUACCAGCUUUCACGUGCUAAAUGGUUUCUAAGCUCCUGCCUGCCAAGGAGCUGGCUGAUCCAUGAGCAGGAUUCCUGUUGGAUGGCUGCAUGAUGUGUGCCAACAGCUCCCUCUGGGUUUUUUGUCUGAGAUUUACUUCAGUUGCAGAAAAAUCAGGGAACGUCUUUGUUCCCAGAAGUACUCCUGGCAGCCGACCUUGGAUCACGACCCAUCAUCGCAGCCCAGUUGCACAGUCUCUAGACAGCAUCUCCUCGGGGCCAGCACAACCUGGGGUGAUGAGACAAGCUCUGUAAUGGAAACGAUUGUGCCUUUGUGUCUGGGCAGCCAGCAAGUGUCAUUCUUUGAAACACAGCGGCUAUUUCAGAAAGAGCAUCUCUAGCGGAGAUGCAGCAGUUUUCCAGGGCACCAUGGAGACAUCCAGUUGCAUAACCCUGACAGUCACUGGGAGACAGUCUGCUGGCAAGCAUUACUGAUACCCCCCGCUCCUGCUCAGCAUGAAGUCCCAAUGACCUCAGCCCUUGGCCGCCUUGUCCACCUCCAACAAGGAAUGUUAGAGAGAACAUCUCAGGAGCCCCUCCCAUAAGCUAUGAACCAAAGCCCUUAAUUUUACAGCUACUAAAAUAUACCAAAGUUCAACACAAUAGCUUUUCAAGUUGACUAACUGGUACGUGGGAGCCAAAAAGCAGGAGCCAUGUAGAUUUAUCAUGUCGUUAAAGGGAACUGGGGUGAGUGUUAGGCAGAGGAUGGAGAUUGCGAGCCCGGAGCUGAGGGCAACAGCUUUAUGAUGAGUUUCACCAUCUGAAAGCCUGGUGUUGUGCACUGCAGCAACCAGCGUUGAGCUCGUCAGAUCUCAGAUUUGCAGCAGGCUGCUUUGCUUCUUUGUUCAUCAAAACAGGGAAGAAAUAGUGGAGCACUUUGGAAAAAUCCUGGAGAAUCUGGUAGAGAUGGAAUUGAGGGUGCUUAGGAACUUGCAGAGUCCAAGGCAGAAAUUACUGUAAAUACUUGUUGAAUUUAGUAAGUGUUUUUAUGCUUCCUGUUGGGUUAUUUUUAACACUCUUGUAGGAUUCCAUAGUGGGAUAUGAUUAUGCAUUAAAUUUUAAUGGUUGUUUUAAAAAUAAAAGCUGUCGAAUGCUAUCAUUUUCUAUUAGGUAAUACAGAGUGCCUCCAUUAGGAGUGUUUUUCUCCUUCCAAACAAAGCCUAGGCAGGCUCGAGCAACAGUCAUGAGCAAAAUAAUCCCAGCUUGGGGAAGAUAUUAAUAAAAUCCAGGCUGCAAAAUGUGCAGGAAGCUGCUCUAAUGUAUCCAUUUC